rnacentral:misc_RNA from 1 species
CUAUUUUUUAGUUGGUUUGCUGCUUAAUAUAUAGUCUGCUGCAAGGGAUUUUUUUUUAGCAGGACCAGCUUCUUGCUUACUUUUUUUCUUUUUUGGGUGGCAUGAAGAAAAGAAAAGUAAAGAAAAGCUUUGGGUGCCAAACCGCUUUUUACUUUUCUUUAAUGAAUUGAAUGAAUGUACUUUAGUAUGGAGUAGACGCAAG